rnacentral:rRNA from 1 species
AACGAACGCUGGCGGCAUGCCUAACACAUGCAAGUCGAACGAGACCUUCGGGUCUAGUGGCGCACGGGUGCGUAACGCGUGGGAACCUGCCCUUAGGUUCGGAAUAACUCCCCGAAAGGGGUGCUAAUACCGGAUAAUGUCUUCGGACCAAAGAUUUAUCGCCUUUGGAUGGGCCCGCGUUGGAUUAGCUAGUUGGUAGGGUAAAAGCCUACCAAGGCGACGAUCCAUAGCUGGUCUGAGAGGAUGGUCAGCCACACUGGGACUGGGACACGGCCCAGACUCCUCCGGAGGGCAGAAGUGGGGAAUAUGGAACAAUGGGCGAAGGCUGAUCCAGCAAUGCCGCGUGAGUGAUGAAGGCCUUAGGGUUGUAAAGCUCUUUUACCCGGGAUGAUAAUGACAGUACCGGGAGAAUAAGCUCCGGCUAACUCCGUG